GUGCUCACUUCAGCAGCACAUAUGCUAAAAUAGGAAUGCUAUAGAGAAGAUUAGAAUGGCCCCUGCACAAGAAUGACUUGCAAAUUCGUGAAGCAUUCCAUAUUUAA
ensembl:snRNA U6 U6 spliceosomal RNA